rnacentral:rRNA from 1 species
UACGAAGGGGGGCUAGCGUUGCUCGGAAUCACUGGGCGUAAAGGGUGCGUAGGCGGGUUCUUAAGUCAGAGGUGAAAUCCUGGAGCUCAACUCCAGAACUGCCUUUGAUACUGAGAGUCUUGAGUUCGGGAGAGGUGAGUGGAACUGCGAGUGUAGAGGUGAAAUUCGUAGAUAUUGGCUGGAACACCGGUGGCGAAAGCGGCUCUCUGGCCCGGUUCUGACGCUGAGGCGCGAAAGCGUGGGGAGCAAACAGG